UACGACGGGGGCUAGCGUUGCUCGGAAUCACUGGGCGUAAAGCGCACGUAGGCGGCUUGCUAAGUCAGGGGUGAAAUCCUGGAGCUCAACUCCAGAACUGCCUUUGAUACUGGCGACCUUGAGUCCGGGAGAGGUGAGUGGAACUGCGAGUGUAGAGGUGAAAUUCGUAGAUAUUCGCAAGAACACCAGUGGCGAAGGCGGCUCACUGGCCCGGUACUGACGCUGAGGUGCGAAAGCGUGGGGAGCAAACAGG
rnacentral:rRNA from 1 species